AGCGAACGCUGGCGGCAGGCCUAACACAUGCAAGUCGAGCGGACCCUUCGGGGUUAGCGGCGGACGGGUGAGUAACGCGUGGGAAUAUGCCCUUCUCUACGGAAUAGUCCUGGGAAACUGGGGGUAAUACCGUAUACGCCCUUUGGGGGAAAGAUUUAUCGGGGAAGGAUUAGCCCGCGUUGGAUUAGGUAGUUGGUGGGGUAAUGGCCUACCAAGCCGACGAUCCAUAGCUGGUUUGAGAGGAUGAUCAGCCACACUGGGACUGAGACACGGCCCAGACUCCUACGGGAGGCAGCAGUGGGGAAUCUUAGACAAUGGGGGCAACCCUGAUCUAGCCAUGCCGCGUGAGUGAUGAAGGCCUUAGGGUUGUAAAGCUCUUUCAGCUGGGAAGAUAAUGACGGUACCAGCAGAAGAAGCCCCGGCUAACUCCGUG
rnacentral:rRNA from 1 species